rnacentral:rRNA from 1 species
ACGCCUAACACAUGCAAGUCGAGCGAGGUAGCAAUACCUAGCGGCAGACGGGUGCGUAACAUGUGGGAAUCUGCCUUUUGGUUCGGAAUAACACGGGGAAACCUGUGCUAAUACCGGAUAAGUCCUUACGGAGAAAGUUUUAAUGCCAAAAGAUGAGCCCGCAUUUGAUUAGUUUGUUGGUGAGGUAAUGGCUCACCAAGACUACAAUCAAUAGCUGAUUUGAGAGGAUGAUCAGCCACACUGGGACUGAGAUACGGCCCAGACUCCUACGGGAGGCAGCAGUGGGGAAUCUUGCACAAUGGGCGAAAGCCUGAUGCAGCGGUGCCGCGUGAGUGAAGAAGGCCCUUGGGUUGUAAAGCUCUUUUGUCGGGAAAGAUAAUGACUGUACCCGAAGAAUAAGGUCCGGCUAACUUCGUGCCAGCAGCCGCGGUAAUACGAAGGGACCUAGCGUAGUUCGGAAUUACUGGGCGUAAAGAGUAUGUAGGCGGCUAGAUAAGUUAAUUGUGAAAGCCCAAAGCUUAACUUUGGAAUUGCAAUUAAAACUAUUUAGCUAGAGUAUGAUAGAGGAAAGCGGAAUACAUAGUGUAGAGGUGAAAUUCGUAGAUAUUAUGUAGAACACCAGUUGCGAAGGCGGCUUUCUGGAUCAUUACUGACGCUGAGAUACGAAAGUAUGGGUAGCGAAGAGGAUUAGAUACCCUCGUAGUCCAUACUGUAAACGAUGAUUAUUAGAUGUGGGGAAUUAUUUCUCUGUAUCACAGCUAACGCGUUAAAUAAUCCGCCUGGGGAGUACGACCGCAAGGUUA